AUUGAACGCUGGCGGCAGGCCUAACACAUGCAAGUCGAGCGCGCGGCGGACGGGUGAGUAAUGUCUGGGAAACUGCGUGAUGGAGGGGGAUAACUACUGGAAACGGUAGCUAAUACCGCAUACCCUCAGAUGUGCCCAGAUGGGAUUAGCUAGUGGGUGGGGUAACGGCUCACCUCGGCGACGAUCCCUAGCUGGUCUGAGAGGAUGACCAGCCACACUGGAACUGAGACACGGUCCAGACUCCUACGGGAGGCAGCAGUGGGGAAUAUUGCACAAUGGGCGCAAGCCUGAUGCAGCCAUGCCGCGUGUGUGAAGAAGGCCUUCGGGUUGUAAAGCACUUUCAGCGGGGAGGCGUUACCCGCAGAAGAAGCACCGGCUAACUCCGUGCCAGCCGCCGCGGUAAUUC
rnacentral:rRNA from 1 species